rnacentral:misc_RNA from 1 species
AGUUUGGAUCUCAGGAGCCAGGGACCAAUGAACAGAUUGUUGAGUUUGCCUGUACUGGCUUCAAGGCUGAGUAUCCUAUAUUUGACAAGGUAGUAACUGAAGUUUGAAUUGCUCUACAAUUUUAUGACAUGGUAAGAAUAUUACUUUCCCUGUUGUCUUUUGGUCCCCUGUAUUAGGGUUGGCCAUUGGUCCAGACCGGAAUCAGUGGUUCUAAUUCAAGGUUUAGGAGGACAGGAACCAGACCACAAAGUCAUCUUGAUUUCGAUUCAAUUCAGUUUGGUCCAAUUUUAAUUAAAUUUUAACAGUUGAAAUUUUAUCAAUACUUUUAUUUUUUGAAAAAAAGAAAAAAAAAUCUGAUUUUGACCCAUAACUAGAUUGGCCAUUCUGGUGCGGUUCCUAACCAGACUAUGGCCGGGUCUACUUGCUCUCUAUUAUUUUGAACUUCAGACAUAUCUUCAUAGAGCUUGGCAAACCAUGUCAAUAUUUUGAUUAAUUCCUUUCUCAUACUGUUGAUAGGUUGAUGUGAAUGCAAAGAAUGCUGCUCCUCUUUGCAAAUUCUUGAAAUCUAGAAAAGGUGGAAUUUUGGGGAAUAGCAUCAAGUGGAAUUUUUCCAAGUUCCUGGUUGAUAAAGAUGGCAAUGU